UACGUAGGGCGCAAGCGUUGUCCGGAAUUAUUGGGCGUAAAGAGCUCGUAGGCGGCCUGUUGCGUCCGCUGUGAAAUCCCGGGGGCUCAACCCCGGGCCUGCAGUGGAUACGGGCUGGCUAGAGGCAGGCAGGGGGAGAACGGAAUUCCUGGUGUAGCGGUGGAAAUGCGCAGAUAUCAGGAGGAACACCGGUGGCGAAGGCGGUUCUCUGGGCCUGUACUGACGCUGAGGAGCGAAAGCGUGGGGAGCGAACAGG
rnacentral:rRNA from 1 species